UCUCUCUCUCUCUCUCACUCUCACACUUCAGUCUCUCUUUCCUUCUCUCUCACUCACACAAACAGCUUGAAGAAGAUGUCAAGAAGAGUUUCUGUUACUUUCAUUAUUGGACGAAGAACAAGAAGAAUUGUUGAUCAUAAUUGUCAAAAAGGUACAAUAUUUCCCUCUCUAAUUAAUCAUCCCUCUUCAUUCUUAUUUGUUCUGUUUCGUUCUCUCUAUACUACUACCCAAAACCCUAAAACUUUACCAACGCACCGAUGCAAUUCACGGCACAAUGAUCUGCAAGAUGCUGUAAAUUCCUUCAAUUUCAUGCUCCAAAUGCGACCUUUGCCCCCCAUUUCUCAUUUCAACAAAGCUUUAGGUCCUCUUUUGAAAUUGGGUCAUUAUGACAUCGCUCUUCUUCUUAUUGGGAAAUUGCAUUUUCUAGGCAUUCAGGACAAUUUCUACACCUUCAACAUUGCUAUUAACUGUUUUUGCCGCCUGAAUCAAGUCGAUUUUGGGUUCUCUCUUUUGGGUACCCUCUUCAAACGUGGUUAUACACCCAAUGUAACUACCUUCAACACUCUGUUAAAUGGACUUAUUUUGGAUGAUAAAACCCCUGAAGCUGUAGAGUUAUUUAAGAAAUUGAUGAGAAUGAGAGAAAUUGAACCCGACGUGGUUAUGUAUGGAACCAUUGUUAAUGGGCUCUGCAGAACGGGGAACACUAUUAGGGCUGUUAGUUUGCUUAGGAUAAUGGAAGAGGGAAGCUGUAAACCUGACACUGUAGUGUAUAACACGGUCAUUGACAGUCUUUGCAAGGAUAGAAUGGUGGAUGAUGCUAUGAAACUCUUUUCUAAGAUGAAUGAACAAGGCAUUUGUCAAGAUGUUGUCACUUAUACCUCUUUGAUUCAUGGCCUGUGUAAUUUUGGCCGGUGGAAGGAGGCUACCGGAAUGUUUAUAGAAAUGUUGGAUAGUGGUAUUGCUCCGGAUGUUCAUACGUAUAGUGUGUUGCUAGAUGCAUGUACCAAGGAAGGGAAGAUGAAAGAGGCAGAGGGGAUACUUGAAGUCAUGAUACAAAGAGGUCUGGAUCCUGAUGUAGUCACAUACAGUACUCUAAUGGAUGGAUAUUGUUUGCAAGGCCACAUCGAGGAAGUAAUGAGAGUGUUCAAUACCAUGGUGGAGAGGGGCCUUCACCCUAAUGUUUUUAGCUAUAACAUUCUAAUCAAUGGAUAUUGCAAGAAAAUGAAAAUAGAUGAGGCUAUGCAUCUCUUUCAAGAACUGCCUCGAAGGGGUUUGCAACCUAACACCGAAACCUUCAAUGCUAUGCUACAGGGUUUGUUUCGAUCAAGUAGAUGUGGAGCUGCUCAAGAACUUUUUAAUGAGAUGCAAGCUGUAGGAAUAAUUCCAAAUUCUCAAACUUAUGGUAUCUUAUUGGAUGGGUUGUGCAAAAAUGGGAAUAUUUCUGAAGCAUUGUCAUUAUUCCACAUGAUGGAAAGCAACGGUUUACAUCUUGAUAUUGUUAAGUAUAAUAUCCUCAUUGAUGCAUUCUGCAAGGAUAAAAAGAUUGAAACUGCAAGGGCUCUUUUCAGUAACCUUUCUUCCAAGGGCUUAGAUCCUGAUGUUAAGACAUACACUAUGAUGAUACAAGGUCUUUGUGAAGAAGGCCUACUGCAUGAAGCUCAAGAGUUGUUUGUUAAAAUGGAACAUAAUGGUUGUUUGCCAAGUGAUGUCACUUACAACACUAUUAUCCGAGGAUUUAUUGGACAACACAAGUGGUAUGAGGCAUUAAUACUUGUUGAGGAAAUGGUUCAAAGGGGUUUUUCAGCAAAUGCUUCCAAUUGUUCCUUGAUCGUAGAUAUGCUCUCAACUAAAGGACAAGAUCCUGCUCUUCGAGAAGUGAUAAAGAAGUUCAUGUCAAAAGAUAGUCAUGGAAUGCAUGAUAUUGAGUAAAUUUCUUAAGAUGUGAAGGUCAUGUACUGGUAAUUGACUUCAUCAACUAGAGCAUGAGCAUGCUCUACAAAGCUAAAGCAAAUGGGCCCUUAAGGAUCAGGUAUGGAGUUUGUAGUGUUGUUGUUGUGUACUUACGGACAAACCAAUGCGGUUGUUCAUCUUAAUCAAGCAUUCACAUUUGCAUAGUUGGUUGAUGGUGUGUAUAGGAAGUUUGAUUGUUUGGUACCUGGGUAGGUGUAUUUUUGUUCAACAUUCCUGGAUACAACAAGUUUAAGGUUGUUUGUGUCGGCGAUGUUCAGAACAUGUUGACCCUUGAGAAGUCGUUCGGCAUUGAUCAUAUCGAUGUGCUUAUUCAAACGUAGAGUGACAGUCUAGGCGUUAGAUGUGGGCUAGCAGAUUCUUCCAAUGUUAGUGAUUGUGAUAACAGUAAGGGGCUGAUGUAUGACAUAGAAGACAGGGCGGAUUUGUUGCUGUUAUAUUGUCUUCAUAAAUCAAAGAUGUUUUUGUCCGCUGGAUUGGCUUAUGGUAUUAGACAUAUUGGCCAAUCUUUUUUGGGCAGCACACACGAAUUUUGGACGGUACUUUGCAAGUAUUCUGUCGAAUAUGAGUAUCAGUUUAAGUACAUUAAGAAUGACUCCGUAUGGAUCACAAUUGUGUGUAAGUUUGCAACGUCAACUGGUUGUUCGUGGUUGGUUCACACAAGGGUGGCGACGUCGAAUGGGUUGUUUUGUUUGAAGAGGUUUAACAGCUUACAUUCAUGUGGUGCUGCUGUACGUAUGUAUAGGAGCCUGCGUACAGGUUUAGAUUUGGUGUUUGAUGUCAUUGCAAAUCGUGUACAUGGAUAGCCGCUCACCCACCUGAUGGACUUGUUGUUCGAUAUGAAAAACGAUUAUGAGUUGGACAUUAGUUACCAGGUUGCCUGGUUGGGGGUGGAGAAAGUGAGAGGUGAAAUAUAUGGAGAUUAUGCAAUAUCGUUCAACCAACUCAGGUGGUAUGGCAAUGCAAUUAUCGAGAACAACUAGUUACAUCAAUUUGGAAUUCAAUCAACAAAUUGGCAGGUUCGUAAGAUAUUUUAUUUCUUUUCAAGCAUGCAUAGAUGGGUUCAACCAUUGUCGUCUGCUUUUGCUUCUUGAUAGUACGUUUUGAAGGUGAGGUUCAAG